rfam:Ovis aries breed Texel chromosome 13, whole genome shotgun sequence.
UUCCAGGUGUCUCAGACAGUAAAGAAUCCACCUGCAAUGUGGGAGACCCAGGUUCAAUACCUGGGUUGGAGA